rnacentral:rRNA from 14 species
AAGUUUGGGGUAAAUUUCCCAUAAGGCUAAAUACAGACCGUGAUUCCGAUAGAAGACAAGUACCGUGAGGGAAACUUGAAAAGAACUUUGAAGAGAGAGUGAAUAGUGCGUGAACCCAUAUGCUAGUAAUCUAUUUCACCAUAUCUGAAACCAGUAAACAUUCAACU